GGUCGAGAUUGACUUCGGACGUAUGUCUGUCGAUACGGAUGAUCUGAAGUACUUUCUGAAUGCCAAGAAGAACACCCUAAAGUGCUUACGAAUAAAGUGGUCGGUGGGUGGAACGAGGCACGUCAUACCGUUGCUGCCGGUAUAUGCCGACAGCUUGGAACGUCUGGAACUUUAUGAGUUCGACAUAGUCCGCAACUCGGCCAGAGAGGCGUUCACUACCGUCGGAAGCUUGAAGCACUUGCGGGAACUCAGGAUGUCCGUCCCCGAUCGAAUACCGCCCGGAACAGCUGCUCUGGCUUUUACGAAUGGAGGACUGCCACAACUGAAAGUGCUGGAUCUACCACACGGAUACGGUGUGGAAGAUAACACAGUAAUUGCCAUCAGCCACGGAUGUCCCGGUUUGCGGCAGCUCUCCGUCACUCACGCUACGAAGCUGUCGCCUGCUGCCUUCUCGGAGAUCGACCAUCUAGAACAUCUUGAAAUACUAGAUGUGACAGGUUGUAGCAGACUCGGCGGAGGCCUAUUCCCCUGCCUCGUCGGGCUACCGCGACUUCACACGUUGCGAAUGGGUACCAUGUAUUUCGGUACCACGUAUUUUACAGAGUUGCAGCCAGGUGUGAGCAGCAUCCUCAAAUUGUCAGGUUUGCGCUGUCUGACAUUCGAUUAUUCGGAUGUUACUGGAGUGCCUUUUGAUAAGUUUCCGGAGAAUCUCAUCAGUCUCAGUUCCUUCAAGUAUUUCUUCCUCUGAUGGUCCCUCCUGCGACUUGCCUGGCCCGGACAAAACCACCGAGAAGUCAGUGUUGGGCUCUGGGGAUGGCAUCUGCUUCGUUUUACCUGUUCCACAUUCCCCAUCACCAAUCUUCUUACCGUACACAGUGUGAAGGACCGAUUCCGAUAGUCUUUUGGAGGUGUGGCCCGUGUGGUGCAAUCGGGCUGUCGAUGACAGUGUGGACUGAAGCCUACUGAGUUAUCUGUAAUGGAGGAGAGGAAGAAAGUCUUGAGGAUGCUUAGAACAGGUGAUUCUGGAGUGGAGAGGAGAAGUUGUUGGCUUUGUAGGAAGUGAAUAAGGGUGCAAACACUAAAGAGGUCGUAUGGAUAAAAAAGAGAACAUUCUUUGGAGAAGAUUUUCUGAGUGAAAGAACGUGCUCUGAGGAAGUUCUUUAUAUCGUAUGAACAAAAUGUUCAGAGCAUAUUUUCUGAUGAGGGAGUUCAUUCUCACUAUCUCGCCACCUGCUCGAAUCUGUUCUCCGCGUUGUGUUGUCUGCACCGGGCACAGAACGUACUCUUUAUCUUGCAUUUCGUUCAGCUUGCUGAAAUAUGCAAACUAUUCAGUGUACAAAUAUGGAACUGUAGCAUCACUGUGUUUGGGAAGAGUUGCAUAAAAUUUCAUUUUGUUUUCACUUUUUUGUGCGGCAACAGAUUAUUAAGAACAUUACGGAUGGUUUAUGAAAAUACAUUUUCUGAUAAUCUUGACAAAUUUUCGACAUGCAGGGAACUUUUUUUUAUUGAUGUUAGGUGAACGCAUUAUGCGAAUGAAAUUUUAACAAUACGUCACAUUAUCGUCUACUCCGGAUUGUAAAACGAGUGUGUUCUGACACGUGGUAAUCUCGAUUAAAUGGCACAUAAUACUCUGUUGGCACGUCAAGUACUUAAGUGGUCAUCUUGUGGUUUUGUUAUGAGAAACAGUUCACUAGGUUUGUAAUAAACCUGUUUUUAAUUUUUAUGAUUUGCCUACUUAUUUCUAGCAUAGCAAAAUGGAACAUCUGUGCUGUGCGAAAAUAUGAUGAACAUCUGAAAAGGUCAGUGACAUAUUUGUCUGGUUUGUACCUGGUCUUCCCAUACACCACUCGGGAAAACUUGGGUCUCAUAAAUAGCACAAAAAUGUUUUCAUUUUUUCUUCAUGAUAUUUGGGAAAUAAGUUCACCACCCUAAUAAUGUUUUUACUGUUAAACCCAUAUAAACUUACACAGUUACUCUACUCAAUAUGUCUUCGGGUUACGUAUAUCUUUCUUUUUCCAUCUGAGCAACAUAGAUUUAUUAAAUUUACUAAAAAAACUUGGUAAGACUUAAUGUCUGCAGAAUUUAAUCAGCCUGAUUUAUGUUACAGAGCUCAUAUCAAAAAGGGGAGAAUUUUCUCUGCUCGUGAGAAACUUCGCUGUGUUUAUUCGUAUGAAAUCGGAGAAUGUUCUUCAUGUUGAGCAAGGUUACCCACUCAUUUACUCAAGCUGAGAACACAGUCAGGGAGCUGAGUGUCGAAGGGUGCCCAGGUGACCCCAGAGCCACAGACGGGCUGACCGAGCAGAUGCCCAAUCUCGUAAUCCGCGGCACGGUCCACGCUGAGCUACAGCCUUUCUACUUCGAGGCACUCGAGGACGUAGGGCCCGGCGAAGCAGACGAAGCGGUGGACGACCGUUCGGAGAGUGACGAAGACGGCGACAGUGAUAGUAGCGUCGGCGGCAGUGACAGUGAGAGAGGUUGAGAGCACUAUAUCUGUAUGUAUAAAAAUAAUGUGAAAUUUAUAGGAAAGUACAAUUCUCAGUACUUGUCAACAUAAGCGGAAACUGUUUUGAAGGAAUAUAACAAAUAAUUUUAGAAAUGUGUAGAAGAAACAGUAAUGUUGUUUGAAUACCUGCUGUAAUAAUCUGCAAUAAUGUUUGAUUCUUGUUGUAACAACAAUGGAUUCACAAUGAAACAAAUUUUUUAAAUGAUAAAAUGGCUACACAGAUCAGCAGUUACUUCUGUAAAAUAUCUGGGAGUGUGCGUACGGAACGAUUUGAAGUGGAAUGAUCAUAUAAAAUUAAUUGUUGGU